CCUACGGGUGGCAGCAGUGGGGAAUAUUGGGCAAUGGGCGAAAGCCUGACCCAGCAACGCCGCGUGCAGGAAGACGGCUUUCGGGUUGUUAACUUCUUUUGACAGGGAAGAGCAGGAGACGGUACCUGUCGAAUAAUCCACGGCUAACUACGUACCAGCCGCCGAGGUAAUACGUAGGUGGCAAGCGUUGUACGGAUUUACUGGGUGUAAGGGGCGUGUAUCCGGGCUGACAAGUCAGAUGUGAAAUCCGGGGGCUCAACCGCCGAACUGCAUUUGAAACUGUAGGUCUUGAGUGUAGGAGGGGCAGGCGGAAUUCAUGGUGUAGCGGUGAAAUGCGUAGAUAUUAGGAGGAACACCAGUGGCGAAGGCGGGUGGCUGGACUACAACUGACGGUGAGGCGCGAAAGUGUGGGGAGCAAACAGGAUUAGAUACCCCUGUAGUC
rnacentral:rRNA from 1 species